rnacentral:rRNA from 1 species
GUACGCUGGCGGCACGCCUAAUACAUGCAAGUCGAACGAAGUAGCAAUACUUAGUGGCAGACGGGUGAGUAACAUGUGGGUAUCUUCCCUUUGGUGAGGAAUAACACGAGGAAACUUGUGCUAAUACCUCAUAAGUCUUUACGGAGAAAGCUUAAUGCGCCAUUGGAUGAGCCCGCACUUGAUUAGUUUGUUGGUGGGGUAAUGGCCUACCAAGACAAUGAUCAAUAGCUGAUUUGAGAGGAUGAUCAGCCACAUUGGGACUGAGACACGGCCCAAACUCCUACGGGAGGCAGCAGUAGGGAAUCUUGCACAAUGGGGGAAACCCUGAUGCAGCGAUGCCGCGUGAGUGAAGAAGGCCCUUGGGUUGUAAAGCUCUUUCGUCGGGGAAGAAAAUGACUGUACCCGAAUAAGAAGGUCCGGCUAACUUCGUGCCAGCAGCCGCGGUAAUACGAAGGGACCUAGCGUAGUUCGGAAUUACUGGGCUUAAAGAGUUCGUAGGUGGUUAAAAAAGUUGGUGGUGAAAUCCCAGAGCUUAACUCUGGAACUGCCAUCAAAACUUUUUAGCUAGAGUAUGAUAGAGGAAAGCAGAAUUUCUAGUGUAGAGGUGAAAUUCGUAGAUAUUAGAAAGAAUACCAAUUGCGAAGGCAGCUUUCUGGAUCAUUACUGACACUGAGGAACGAAAGCAUGGGUAGCGAAGAGGAUUAGAUACCCUCGUAGUCCAUGCCGUAAACGAUGUGUGUUAGACGUUGGAAAUUUAUUUUCAGUGUCGCAGCGAAAGCAAUAAACACACCGCCUGGGGAGUACGACCGCAAUAAGGUUAAAACUUAAAUGGAAAUUGACGGUGCC